AUGAUAGCAUGCAGAUCUGGCUUGCGGGAUUCAAAGAUGAAUUUGUUUCGGACCUUCCAUAAGCUCCACAAGACGCCAGCUAUUAACUCCACCGUUGGUGCUUUCUCUCUUUCUUGCAUGACUUCCAUUACCUAUUUAUCAAUCCUUGAAAUUUCAUUACUGGAGAUGCUGAUAUUGAGUCGCGGGUCUGCCCAUAUGUCGUUUGUCCAGCUACGAAGAAGGAAUAGGUGUUCCGUGGUUUUCGGGCAUUGAUGACAGAAGGGACAGAGGGGGUCAGGGUGUUUAGUUUCCAAAUGUUAAUCCAAAGAGAUUUGGGAAUUUGGUAAGAUUGAGGAAGCUUGAUUGGGGUUCUGUUGUUGUAUUGCUGGUUGCAUGCUGUGGUAGGCCUCUUUGACUGUGUAUUGUCCUGUUUUACUCCCAGCCCAUAUAAGUGAACCUUCCUUUGGAUUUGUGCUCA